GUGCCAGCCGCCGCGGUAAUACGAAGGUUGCAAGCGUUGUUCGGAAUCACUGGGCUUAAAGCGUAUGUAGGCGGGCCAGAAAGUAGUUUGUGAAAUCCCCCGGCUUAACCGGGGAAUCGCUUGCUAAACUGCUGGUCUUGAGGCAAUUAGGGGUGCAUGGAACUCUUGGUGGAGCGGUGGAAUGCGUAGAUAUCAAGAGGAACGCCAGCGGAGAAAUCGGUGCACUGGAAUUGUCCUGACGCUCAGAUACGAAAGCGUGGGGAGCAAACGGGAUUAGAUACCCCUGUAGUCC
rnacentral:rRNA from 1 species